ACACUAUGCUUGCUGAAUCCUAUAUAUUUAGGUACGGAGGAACCAUUAAAGGGGUUAAUCUAUGAGUCUCAUAGUAGGGAGCCUUCUAUCCCGAACCCGUCAGCUAACUUCGGAAGCAAAAUAGGAAGGAGUG
rnacentral:sRNA from 2 species